rnacentral:rRNA from 1 species
UACGUAGGUGACCAGCGUUGUCCGGAUUUACUGGGCGUAAAGAGCGCGCAGGCGGUCGUUCAAGUCGAGUGUGAAAGCCCCCGGCUCAACUGGGGAGGGUCACUCGAUACUGAUCGACUUGAAGGCAGGAGAGGGAAGCGGAAUUCCCGGUGUAGUGGUGAAAUGCGUAGAUAUCGGGAGGAACACCAGUGGCGAAGGCGGCUCACUGGCCCGGUACUGACGCUGAGGCACGAAAGCGUGGGGAGCAAACAGG